rnacentral:rRNA from 1 species
CCUACGGGAGGCAGCAGUGGGGAAUUUUGGACAAUGGGCGCAAGCCUGAUCCAGCAAUGCCGCGUGCAGGAUGAAGGCCUUCGGGUUGUAAACUGCUUUUGUACGGAACGAAACGGUCUCUUCUAAUACAGGGGGCUAAUGACGGUACCGUAAGAAUAAGCACCGGCUAACUACGUGCCAGCAGCCGCGGUAAUACGUAGGGUGCGAGCGUUAAUCGGAAUUACUGGGCGUAAAGCGUGCGCAGGCGGUGAUGUAAGACAGAUGUGAAAUCCCCGGGCUCAACCUGGGACCUGCAUUUGUGACUGCAUCGCUAGAGUACGGUAGAGGGGGAUGGAAUUCCGCGUGUAGCAGUGAAAUGCGUAGAUAUGCGGAGGAACACCGAUGGCGAAGGCAAUCCCCUGGACCUGUACUGACGCUCAUGCACGAAAGCGUGGGGAGCAAACAGGAUUAGAUACCCUGGUAGUCCACGCCCUAAACGAUGUCAACUGGUUGUUGGGUCUUCACUGACUCAGUAACGAAGCUAACGCGUGAAGUUGACCGCCUGGGGAGUACGGCCGCAAGGUUGAAACUCAAAUGAAAUUGACGGGCNGAGACGAGCGAGGACGACGACGAGGGGAGGUAGG